CUCCCAAUAGGUGACCUUUCCCGUGGCCUUUAUUUUAGCCACAGCCUGUACAAUCUGUGCUUUGGAGGUACUCUUGCCAAAGCCUCCCAUGACUACAGCCUGUUGAGAAAAAAUACUCUUGACAGACUGCCAUAUAACUGAUUUUCAGCUCUGGGCCCUAAAUCAGAAGUAAUUUAGCUCCACUGACAUCAAUGGAGUUACCCUGCUGCAAAACUGGUAUGAGUGAAAUGAGAAUCUGACCCAGGUCACUGAUACAUGAGCACCAAAAUCUUUGUUAUAAGGGGUAACCGUGACAAAGAACAAUGAAAGUACACUUACAUGUAAGGUAAACAAAGCCAUCAAGCUACAAGCAGUAGAGGAGAGAGU